rnacentral:rRNA from 1 species
GACGAACGCUGGCGGCGUGCCUAAUACAUGCAAGUCGAGCGAACAGACGAGGUGCUUGCUCCUCUGACGUUAGCGGCGGACGGGUGAGUAACAAGUGGAUAACCUACCUAUAAGACUUGGAUAACUUCGGGAAACCGGAGCUACUACCGGAUAAUAUAUUGAACCGCAUGGUUCAUUAGUGAAAGACGGUUUUGCUGUCACUUAUAGAUGGAUCCGCGCCGCAUUAGCUAGUUGGUAAGGUAACGGCUUACCAAGGCGGCGAUGCGUAGCCGACCUGAGAGGGGGAUCGGCGACACUGGAACGGAGACACGGUCCAGAGUACUACGGGGGGCAGCAGUAGGGAAUCAUCCGCAAUGGGCGAAGGACGGACGGAGCAACGACGCGUGGGGGAUGAAGGUCUUCGGAUCGUAGAGCUCUGUUAUUGGGGAAGAAGAAAUGUGUAAGUAACUGUGCACGGCUUGACGGUACCUAAUCAGAAAGCCACGGCUAACUACGUG